UGGCUCAAUGAUUAAGCAUUUGGCUGCUAACCAAAAGGUCAGUGGUUUGAACCCACC
rnacentral:tRNA from 1 species